rnacentral:rRNA from 1 species
UAGGGAAUCUUCGGCAAUGGACGAAAGUCUGACCGAGCAACGCCGCGUGAGUGAAGAAGGUUUUCGGAUCGUAAAACUCUGUUGUUAGAGAAGAACAAGGACGUUAGUAACUGAACGUCCCCUGACGGUAUCUAACCAGAAAGCCACGGCUAACUACGUGCCAGCAGCCGCGGUAAUACGUAGGUGGCAAGCGUUGUCCGGAUUUAUUGGGCGUAAAGCGAGCGCAGGCGGUUUCUUAAGUCUGAUGUGAAAGCCCCCGGCUCAACCGGGGAGGGUCAUUGGAAACUGGGAGACUUGAGUGCAGAAGAGGAGAGUGGAAUUCCAUGUGUAGCGGUGAAAUGCGUAGAUGUAUGGAGGAACACCAGUGGCGAAGGCGGCUCUCUGGUCUGUAACUGACGCUGAGGAUCGAAAGCGUGGGGAGCAAACAGG